rnacentral:rRNA from 1 species
UACGAAGGGGGCUAGCGUUGCUCGGAAUUACUGGGCGUAAAGGGCGCGUAGGCGGCCCUGUUAGUCAGGCGUGAAAGUCCUGGGCUCAACCUGGGAACUGCGCUUGAUACGGCAGAGCUAGAGGAUGGAAGAGGGUCGCGGAAUUCCCAGUGUAGAGGUGAAAUUCGUAGAUAUUCGGAAGAACACCAGUGGCGAAGGCGGCUCACUGGUCCGGUACUGACGCUGAGGUGCGAAAGCGUGGGGAGCAAACAGG